rnacentral:lncRNA from 1 species
UAUGAGUUACACGACGCACUUAUCUCAUGUGAUCUUCUUAUGACUCAAUUUAAUACGACUACUAAGCUUGUUUCAGUGAACAUAAACUGUAGCUCUGAUACCAACCUGUGACGCCCUCCAAACCAGGGGUCUCGAUUUGGGGGUCACAACCUGACUCAUAAUUAUAUAAUAUGCACAGCGGAAUGAAAUGCUAAUAUUAUAAAACAAUAAUAUGACCCCUGCAUGCAACUGGAUCGUACACAAUUUAUGAUAUGAAACAAGCACUAAUAAAACCAUAAUGUGAUUACACACUACACACCUGCCUAGAGUAGCUUUUACAGUAAACCACACAAACCCUCCAAAAGUCUAAAUAAGUUUUAUGACUAGUUCAAAUUUUUAUUACAUACUACCAAAAGUUCUAUGUAUACUCUGGAUUCUUCCUACCUGAGCAGGGAGAUUGAACCGAAAUAUCUGUGGAUGGCUAAGUGGGACCCUCUUGCGAGCGGUAAGGCGCAUCCUCGGCAUACUUAGGUCUGGCUGAAAGUUUAGCACAACAGUAACAAAGCAAGAAUGAGCAACUAGAAGGCUCAACAAUAUAUAUAUAUAAUGCUUAAAUGUAAAGCAUUAAUAAGUGCUAUUCUUCUGGAAGGAAAAGAUAAGGAAUAAUAGUCUCUCAUGGAAAACGAAAGCAAUAUUAGCUUAAGUAAUCAAAUUAAAAAUUUUGAUUUCAACUUUCACUGACGGGUGUACUAUCACAGCUGAUCAGCACGUGUAAUAGUACGGGAUCACACUUCGUAGAAGCAUGUCCUAAUUCACAGGUACCAAAUAUAAGGCAACACAUUGGCCUUUGGCAGAAAAGUAUUAUCAUAUUUCAAUAAUACCCAAAUAGCCCUUCACUGGACCGCCGUCCCGGCCUCUUACGCAAAAACGUUUUAUUUUUCUUAGGGAGUUGAAUCACUCAACUCUCUCGAUCAACAAACUCGCCAUUUCACAUGGUCCGGAGUAGUCAUAUCAACUGAUGGCAACAUAACUAGAAUAAUUAGUUAUUUGCUAAUUAUGAAUUUCAACUCUUGUACUGUUUGGAGUAUAUCUGGAUAGCAUAGUUUUUCACUAUCUAUCUUAGAAGUAAUUUGAGAAUUCUAGUAGAAUGAUUACUAGAAUGUAGGGAAUUCAAUCAUUGGAAUGUAUUGAAUUCAAUCAUUAUUUGAGUAUCUGUAUGGUGUAUGGAAUAUCGAACAACAAUUAAAUCCCAAGCAUAUGAUAUUCUAUGAAUUGAAAUCCAGAAUAUAAUAAUUGCAUUGGCAAUAAUUAAAAGUUGUGGAAUAAAAUCACUUGCUCUUAAUCAAUAAGAGAAGAAUAGAAAUACUUGCCUUUGCUGAACUCUACUGUCACUUGCUUUAAAACUUGGAGUCACAAACAACUCUUGAAUCUAUAAUUCAAACCGUAUUGAUUCAACAAUUCGGGUUAACUCAAUUGAUAUACUCAUAUAUCUCACGAAACAUAAACUACCCCUUCGUUUAUACUAAUCAUGGUAUCAACAUGUAAGUCAUGUAUCACACAAUCAGAUAUUUCAUAUAACAUGUGAUUCAGAUUAUCACGUGUCGGGUUUAGCUCAGAUGUUUAUUAUAGUCAUGAAUUCUACUAAAAGGAAUUAAUCAACUCUUGGAAAAUGAGACGAUAUGCUUAUAUCUUUUUAAGUAAACAAUCGGUUAAUAACCAAUAAGCCAAACAGACCACCAAGUCACCAGCUUGUAUAUAAGCAUGCCAUCAUUUAACAAUUAACAAUCUGUGUUAAUCGAAACCAGUGCUUUAUAAAUCUACUUAGUUUUAGCACAACAUUCACAAGGUUCACUUAAUAGUAAUCCGGGAAUCUAAUAUUACAUAUAGUAAUUAAUAGUACUAAUACAAUUUGCAUUUAACAUGAAUAUGCAAAAAUAUGUAUAUUAAUUUUAUUUAUAUCAUUAAUAUUAUUAUUAUCGUGGGUACAAUAAUAAUAAUAAAAAUAAUACAAAUAUAACCAAUAUAAUUUUUUUAUUUUCUU